AUUGAACGCUGGCGGCAUGCCUUACACAUGCAAGUCGAACGGCAGCACGGGAGCAAUCCUGGUGGCGAGUGGCGAACGGGUGAGUAAAGUAUCGGAACGUGCCCAGUCGUGGGGGAUAACGUAGCGAAAGUUACGCUAAUACCGCAUACGAUCUACGGAUGAAAGCGGGGGAUCGCAAGACCUCGCGCGAUUGGAGCGGCCGAUAUCAGAUUAGGUAGUUGGUGGGGUAAAGGCUCACCAAGCCGACGAUCUGUAGCUGGUCUGAGAGGACGACCAGCCACACUGGGACUGAGACACGGCCCAGACCCCUACGGGAGGCAGCAGUAGGGAAUUUUGGACAAUGGGCGAAAGCCUAAUCCAGCCAUGCCGCGUGCAGGAUGAAGGCCUUCGGGUUGUAAACUGCUUUUGUACGGAACGAAAAGGUUUGGCCUAAUAAGCUGAGCUCAUGGCGGUACCGUAAGAAUAAGCACCGGCUAACUACGUGCCAGCAGCCGCAGUAA
rnacentral:rRNA from 1 species